UACAGAGGGUGCGAGCGUUAAUCGGAUUUACUGGGCGUAAAGCGUGCGUAGGCGGCUUUUUAAGUCGGAUGUGAAAUCCCCGAGCUUAACUUGGGAAUUGCAUUCGAUACUGGGAAGCUAGAGUAUGGGAGAGGAUGGUAGAAUUCCAGGUGUAGCGGUGAAAUGCGUAGAUAUCUGGAGGAACACCGGUGGCGAAGGCGGCAUCCUGGACCGGUAUUGACGCUGAUGGACGAAAGCGUAGGUAGCGAACAGG
rnacentral:misc_RNA from 1 species